CCUACGGGGGGCUGCAGUAAGGAAUAUUGGUCAAUGGGCGCAAGCCUGAACCAGCCAUGCCGCGUGAAGGAUGACGGCCCUAUGGGUUGUAAACUUCUUUUGUACGGGAAAAAACCACCGGUCGUGUAUCGGUGCUGAUGGUACCGUAAGAAUAAGCAUCGGCUAACUCCGUGCCAGCAGCCGCGGUAAUACGGAGGAUGCAAGCGUUAUCCGGAUUCAUUGGGUUUAAAGGGUGCGCAGGCGGAGUGAUAAGUCAGUGGUGAAAGCCUACAGCUUAACUGUAGAACUGCCAUUGAUACUGUCAUUCUUGAGUAUUGUUGAGGUAGGCGGAAUGUGUCAUGUAGCGGUGAAAUGCUUAGAUAUGACACAGAACACCGAUCGCGAAGGCAGCUUACCAAGCUAUAACUGACGCUCAUGCACGAAAGCGUGGGGAUCAAACAGGAUUAGAUACCCGUGUAGUC
rnacentral:rRNA from 1 species